rnacentral:rRNA from 1 species
AGCUCCAAUAGCGUAUAUUAAAGUUGUUGCAGUUAAAAAGCUCGUAGUUGGAUUUCUGUCGUGUCUUUCUUCCUAUCUUGUUCGCCAAGUGCGGAUGUUAGGUUCCUUUUAGGUUUUGAUUGGACGACAUCUUGGCCUGCUAAUUUGCCUGCGAAACAUUGAUUUGUUUUGCGGGUAAAUGGGCCUCAUUUACUGUGAAAAAAUUAGAGUGUUCAAAGCAAGUAUUGAUUUCUUGAAUACAUUAGCAUGGAAUAAUAAGAUAGGACUUUGGUACUAUUUUGUUGGUUUGCAUACCAAAGUAAUGAUUAAUAGGAACAUAUUGGGGAUAUCCGUAUUUUUUAGUCAGAGGUGAAAUUCUUGGAUUUAAGAAAGACGAACUACAGCGAAAGCAUUUAUCAAG